AGGAAAAGAAACCAACAGGGAUUGCCCUAGUAACGGCGAGUGAAGCGGCAACAGCUCAAAUUUGAAAUCUGGCGCAAGCCCGAGUUGUAAUUUGUAGAGGAUGCUUCUAGGUAGCGACCGGUCUAAGUUCCUUGGAACAGGACGUCAUAGAGGGUGAGAAUCCCGUAUGUGACCGGCCCGCACCUUCUACGUAGCUCCUUCGACGAGUCGAGUUGUUUGGGAAUGCAGCUCUAAAUGGGAGGUAAAUUUCUUCUAAAGCUAAAUACCGGCCAGAGACCGAUAGCGCACAAGUAGAGUGAUCGAAAGAUGAAAAGCACUUUGGAAAGAGAGUUAAAAAGCACGUGAAAUUGUUGAAAGGGAAGCGCUCACAACCAGACUUCUGGGCGGUGUUCCGCCGGUCUUCUGACCGGUCUACUCACCGUCCCGAGGCCAACAUCAUCUGGGACCGCCGGAUAAGACCUCAGGAAUGUAGCUCCCCUCGGGGAGUGUUAUAGCCUGUGGUGAUGCGGCGCGUCUCGGGUGAGGUCCGCGCUUCGGCAAGGAUGUUGGCGUAAUGGUUGUCAGCGGCCCGUCUUGAAACACGGACCAAGGAGUCUAACAUCUAUGCGAGUGUUCGGGUGUCAAACCCCUACGCGUAAUGAAAGUGAACGGAGGUGGGAAGGGUAACCUGCACCAUCGACCGAUCCUGAUGUCCUCGGAUGGAUUUGAGUAAGAGCAUAGCUGUUGGGACCCGAAAGAUGGUGAACUAUGCCUGAAUAGGGUGAAGCCAGAGGAAACUCUGGUGGAGGCUCGCAGCGGUUCUGACGUGCAAAUCGAUCGUCAAAUUUGGGUAUAGGGGCGAAAGACUAAUCGAACCAUCUAGUAGCU
rnacentral:rRNA from 1 species